UGUACAAAAUCAGCAGGGGAUCAAGUACUUUUUUUCCUCACUGUAUAUUGCAUUUGUUUUAGGCAUAAGGGCAAUGAAAUGUACCAGUAUUUACGUAUAGUUGCAUAUUUUCAGAAGCUUGGGUCCCAGGAAAACACAGAAUUUGUCAUUUGGGUCCCAGGCUGAAAAAGUUUAAGAACCCCUGGUCUCUGGUAUUGAGUUUUUGCGCGGAGUGAGUUGAAGAGAGGUUAGGUGCGGACAACUAAGAUGGCAACAACAAGUAAUAAUUCAAACAUGAAGUGUAUAGCGCCAGGCUGUACGAAUUAACGCCAAAAAAAUCCCCUGGUAAGCUACCAUCGGCUGCCCAAGGACCCACAACCUUUGAAGAAGUAGCUCCAUGUCCUGAAGAGGAAGGACGUGCCAGCUCGAGCUCGCAGGAUCUACAGCCAGCACUUUGCGGAGGAAAACUUCAUGAUGAAGGGCACUUUCGAUGCGGCAAAUGGGAGUUUCCGAAUGAAAAGGACUCAUAGGCCUACAUUGAAGCCCUCUGCUUGCCCCUCCAUUUUCAAUUUCGAGUGUUAUGGUGUAGGUGUUACCGACCGAUCAACAUCGCUGACUUCAGAGUCAAGCCAAAGCCGGACUGAACAGAGGCGGCGACGUGAGUCAAUGGAGCCUGAGGUAACGUUAACCGAUCAUGAGUCAUGACUGUUGUAAACUAGGCUAGCGUUAGAGACUGGAUAACUUUGUUGCAACUCUAGUUGGAGGUAACUAGCUAAUUGCAUCUGAAGUGUUUUGUGUAACACCCCCAAGCAACUCCACUGCAACUAAAAUUGCAACACAGUUUCACCGUAUAGCCCUGUUAUUAGGUAGCUAGCUAGCUUCAAGUUCAGCUUGUCAAGUAAUACAUUUUUUGCUGACGGAUUUGUUUUUGGAAUGCUUUGUUGGCGGCACCUCAUUUAGUUAGACUGAAGUUGACAUGGCUAAUGUUUGCUGAAAAAUAAAUGUCCCUGUAUUUGCUUUGCUGUGUGUGUGCUAACAUAGCAUACAAGACAGGUAGCUUGUUAAUGCCAGCUGAUAUAUUUGGGUUCAGUUGUCUUAACAAAACGUUUGUUUGAUUUCAGGAUGACAUCCUGGAGGAGACUGUGCAGGAGGCACAGGAAAGAAUAGUUAGUACAGCAUGCCAAACUGACCCCUGAGUGCCAGUGUUCUUGUGCUGCAGUGGAGGAGAGGUCCACCAGGACCAUCACUAAAGAGCUCAAGGCCCAGCUAGAUUUCGCUCACAACCAUCAGUAUACAACUGAGUCCUUCCCCUAUCAGCCACAGAUGGAGCUGACGGAGAGGUGAGAGUGAGAUGAGUGAAGACCAGGACUCGCUGUAUGAACCUGAGAGCUCAGAAUCACAAUCAUCACAGUGCGAGCCAAGAGAUACUAUCGAAGAGUUUGUGCAAGAUCCAAAAUACAUAGUCUUUGAUAGCAAGCUGAGGGAGUUUUUCACUGUCAGCCAUGAGCCAGGAUGUCGAGCAGUUGUCAUCGUUAAUCCCUGAAAAUAAAUAGUUUUGCCAUCACCAUGGAGACCGAGUGUGUUGUGGGCCUCAGGAGGAAGUGGGGGUCCCAGACCAGAGUGGGAAAGUUGUUUGCAGGGAAUCUGUUGGUGCCAUCAGUGGUCUUCCUUACUGGCAGCUCCCACUCCACAUUUGUGGAAAUAUGUCACCUCAGCCUGGUGUCCAUGUUGCUGCGACAGUUCGCAAACCAACAGCGCUUUUACAUUGUGCCAGAGGUUAGCCACAUGUGGACCCAGCACACGGAGGCCAUUCUGGCUACAAUUGGUGACAGUCCACUGAUCGUAUCUGGAGACGCACAGUGUGAUUCUACAGGCCAUUGUGCCUCCUUUGGCACUUACACCAUCCUGGACUCUGCUUCCCACCUGAUCCUCGCCCAGGAGACUUGUGCAUGUGACCGAAGUGAAGAACAGCUACUGGUUGGAGACGGAGGAAUUAGAAAGAUGCCUGCAACACGUUGAGGUAAGCUAUAGUCUAACCAAUAUUUUGUAGCUAGCCUAAGGGUUGUAAGUGUGUAUUUGCUGGAUUCAUGAAGAGGACGUAGGUACCUUUUUUAGGAUAAUAAUACAAUCAUUAUUACUAACGGGCCCAUGGAUGCAGCAUUGAAACCCUGGCCACUGACAGGCAUCCAAGUGUGAGGGUGCACUUGAAGGACUCACAUGCUCAUAUCUGGCAUGAGUAUGACCUGUGGCACAUUGCCAAAGGUGUGCGGAAACAGCUGGUGGCAAUCAGGAAGCCAGAGGUACUGCCAUGGGUGAGGGCAUUAACGCACCACUUGUGGUACUUAGCCGCCACUGCUGGUGGGAGUGUCCAGGUGCUAAAAGAAAAGUGGAUCACCUUAGUUCACCACAUACAAAUGAACACCAGUGGGUCACUGGCGACACACUCAACUGCACCUAAAGAAGGAACACGACCCUGAAUGAACACAUCGUCGGCAGCUUUCGAGGCAGUGAGGAAAAUCGUCCUCAACCCGAGAUUGUUGAAGGAUCUCGAUAAGGUGACGAAGUGUGUUCAGACAGGUGAACUCAAGUGUACAUGCCCUGUACACUAAAUACGUGCCCAAGAGGAACAAGUUUGGCCAGCAGGGGAUGGUCGCAAGACUCCAAGUGGCUGCCUUCAACCACAAUUAUCGGUGGACAGACAGCAGGCUACAACAAAGAAGGGAGUGGUCCGUUUCAAGCAACAGUUCUCCAUGGCUGCCAGGGCGUUUGUGGUGAAAUCCAUCAAGGCGGCGAAGACAUGGUGUUUCCGGUCUGAGCUUCUACACGGCAUCGUUGACCGCAGUGCCAAUGGACCAUCCCAGCAGACUCUCCUGAGUGCCCAAAGAGAGAGAGUGGCAGUCACUUUGGGGGAGCGGGCUGGUGUUCCCGAAAAUGGAGAAGGAGCAGGCCAUUCAACAGCGAAUUCAAAGAUACACCCAUCCAUAGAGACAAUCGGAGUCUAAUUGUUUUUCCACAGAUUUAUUUUUAACCGUUUCAACUCUCUCACCCCCCGGACCUGCUGUCUCAACCUAUGAAUGCUAAGCUAUGAAAAGCCAACUGACAUUUUCUCCUGAGGUGUUGAAGUGCUGCGCCCUCUAUAACCACUGGUUAUUAUUUUGAUGUAAAAAGGGAUUUGUAAAAUACAUUUGAUUGUUUGCUGUGCUGCAUGCUGUGUAUUCACUAACUGAUGUGAAAUGUAUGUAGUAUCUGUAACAUAUUUUGGUGUGUAUUUAAUCUGCAACUUAACUUCUUAAAGCAGCAAUCAGCAGUAUAAACAAUAAGUGUCCACCCUGCUCCUCUUUCGGUAAAAAGCUGAGGGAUGGGGCUGGAGAAAUGUAACCACUCUCAAAUUCAUAGACAGAGCUAUGGA